AUUGAACGCUGGCGGCAUGCUUUACACAUGCAAGUCGAACGGUAGAGGGGGCAACCCCUUGAGAGUGGCGAACGGGUGAGUAAUGCAUCGGAACGUGCCCAGUCGUGGGGGAUAACGCAGCGAAAGCUGUGCUAAUACCGCAUACGAUCUCUGGAUGAAAGCGGGGGACCGAAAGGCCUCGCGCGAUUGGAGCGGCCGAUGUCAGAUUAGGUAGUUGGUGGGGUAAAGGCUCACCAAGCCAACGAUCUGGAGCUGGUCUGAGAGGACGACCAGCCACACUGGGACUGAGAAACGGCACAGACUCCUACGGGAGGCAGCAGUGGGGAAUUUUGGACAAUGGGCGCAAGCCUGAUCCAGCAAUGCCGCGUGCAGGAAGAAGGCCUUCGGGUUGUAAACUGCUUUUGUACGGAACGAAAAGGUCUGGGUUAUUACCCUGGGCACAUGACGGUACCGUAAGAAUAAGCACCGGCUAACUACGUGCCAGCCGCCGCAGUAA
rnacentral:rRNA from 1 species